rnacentral:lncRNA from 10 species
GAGAGAGUAAAAUGGUACUACAGUGAAGCAAAUUAACAUAGCCAUCAUCUGACAAAAAUAUCCUUUUUUUUGGUGGCAAGAACAACUAAAAUCUAAUCAUUUAGCAGAAAUUCCAAGUACAGUACAAUUUUAUUAGCUAUAUUCCUCAUUAAUUGUUACCACAGAAGAGGGAUAGAGGAAAUGGGGAGAAGUAGGUCAGAGGUAUAAAGUAGAGGAUAUGGGGGACAAACAAAUCUAAAGGCCUAAUGUGUACCAUUGAAUUUCCUUAAUGGUGAAUAAAAUAAUUGCAUGCUACACAUUUGGUGGAGUUUAGAUUCGAUAAAAUGUAGCAUAAUGCAUCAUGCAUCAGAGUGUCAUAAAAAUAUUACAAAUACAAUAGUUACUAAAAUAUUAAUAAAAAUUGAUAUAUAGCUCAAUGAUGAGACAAAAAUAGAUAGCUUUUUAUUUAAAAUUUACUAUUUCACAGAUUCUUGAACAACUAUUCUUUGCUAGAAUGAGAUAAAUUUCAGCAUCAGUCCUACUCCUAGCUUUAGAUCUCUAGAUAGAAAACAUCGGCGGCCUUGUUUCUACAGGUUUUUGUUAAAAACCAAAUUGGAUUCACUGGAUCUGGACUGGAGCCUGAGAUUCCUCUUUUCCAACAAGCUCUCAGGAGAUUUCCUUAGGUAUGACCCUGAAGCACAGAUUUUCUUCUAGAGUAUAUUUAUAUUUUAAUUUUACUUAAAUUUUUUUUCCUGAAUUAUAUUCUGUUUGCCAAAGGAUUAACAAUAUAACUAAAUAUGCUAUUCCUGUAUUGUGUACAUUAGGAACAGUGUAUAUUGCAUACAUACAGAAACAAUAAAAUUUUUUUUAAUUUGAUAAAAUGCUGAGUUAAUGAUGAAACUUAUCAUGAUUUUAUUUACUCCUUUGCUGAUAAAUCUCUACAACUCACAUGAUGAGCAACAUUGUGAAUCUGGUGGCAACAUAUAUUUGCAGAAAGGAAACUCAGCAAGGAAAAGUGAUUGCAAUUGCAAGUGACAAUGGAGGAAAGAUGAUGGAGGCCAUGAGUCAUUUGCUUAACAGUACCCAUUCGGAGGUGUUAAGCUGGCUUUAGCCACGGAAAUCAGAACACAAGGACGUUGAGGAGUUGAGGUGAAAUCAGACUCUCAAAAGAGCGAAAGUAGUGAAAGAGACUGGCUUCUUUUUCAUAUUUGAAAUAUGUAAUAAUUAUUCUUAAAUUCUCUCUUUAUAUUUGAUCUGCCUGUAUCCAAAGUGGACAUCUGCCUUCAGCAAUAAAAGCUCCCAUGGCUUCCUCUUUUAAGGUUUAUUUCUUUCUCGAAUUCGGUUCAACUAGGAUUCUUUACAUCAUCUACUGUUCUUUAUUAGGCCCAUGGAGAAGUGUGAUUUUUUUUUUUGUCCAAGAUUUUGUGGUUGUUAUGGGAGGGAAGAUCUUUCUUAAUCAUCUGUAUACUACCUGGAAGUAGAAAGUUUCUUCUUUUUUCACUUGGUACCUGCAAAUCAACUUAGGAGUUUUUUGGAAUUUUCUGAACUUUCUGAUAAAAUGAUUGUGACCAUUUUUACUUUGCUGUAUUUUUUUUUUGGCCUAAUUGAAAUAUCUGCUGGAGAGAACUCAGAAUUUUGGAGCAGUACGGGAUGUAAAAAUCAUCUGGUCCAAUUAGUGAUGCUUGUCUGUGGCUCUCUCAAUAAUGCUGAGGUUGUGGGCGUGUGCCCCAUGAUUUGGGGGACUUGAGUGUAAUGUCUUCUAUGACCAUGACUUGUCUUCUAAUCCAGGUUAACCACCUUUAAUCUACAUGUUGCCAUUUCUAAGGGGGAAA